UACGGAGGGGGCAAGCGUUACUCGGAAUUAUUGGGCGUAAAGGGCGCGUAGGCGGUCGUGCGCGUCGGAGGUGAAAUCCCCGGGCUUAACCCGGGAGCUGCCUCCGAUACGGCAUGGCUUGAGUCCGGGAGAGGGGAGCAGAAUUCCCAGUGUAGCGGUGAAAUGCGUAGAUAUUGGGAGGAAUACCGGUGGCGAAGGCGGUUCUCUGGGAAUAUCCUGACGCUGAGGAGCGAAAGCGUGGGGAGCGAACAGG
rnacentral:rRNA from 1 species